AGAUGGUUCGGCGCCAUGGCCCUGACUUCGACUGGCGACAUGAACCGGUGGAUCCCUCGAUGGUGUAUGCAAGUGGUGGUGGAAAAGUGCAUGGACGGUAAUCUCUAACUUAUGAAAUUAUAUGGUUGACACUAAAUUGAUCAUGCAGUAAUCACAAUUUUUGAAUCGCUUAUAGAUAUACACUCUUCGACGGAUUCAUUGACUCAUCAUCGGUGAGAUCUCAAAGGACGGGGUCGUCUUCCCGUAGCUCGUGCUGUCAUCGACCGAACGAGCAGGAGUUGGAGAUUAUGCGGAUGCGUGAGGAGAUGAGACAACAACGAGAAUUUAUG
rnacentral:lncRNA from 1 species